rnacentral:rRNA from 1 species
UACGUAGGGUGCAAGCGUUAAUCGGAAUUACUGGGCGUAAAGCGUGCGCAGGCGGCUUUGCAAGACAGAUGUGAAAUCCCCGGGCUUAACCUGGGAACUGCAUUGUGACUGCAUGGCUGGAGUGCGGCAGAGGGGAUGGAAUUCCGCGUGUAGCAGUGAAAUGCGUAGAGAUCUGGAGGAACACCGAUGGCGAAGGCAGCCCCCUGGGCUAACACUGACGCUCGAUGCACGAAGCGUGGGAGCAAAUAGG